rnacentral:tRNA from 1 species
GGCCCGUUGGUGAAGUGGUUAACACACCAGUUUUUCACACUGGCAGGCAGGAGUUCGAAUCUCCUACGGGUCGCCA